rnacentral:rRNA from 1 species
AGAGUUUGAUCAUGGCUCAGAAUCAACGCUGGCGGCGUGCCUCAGACAUGCAAGUCGAACGCGAAAGCUCCCUUCGGGGAGCAAGUAGAGUGGCGCAAGGGUGCGUAACACGUGGGCAAUCUGCCGUGAAGUUUGGGACAACUUGCUGAAAGGCGAGCUAAUACCGGAUGUGAAAAUUGAAAGGCAUCUUUUGAUUUUCAAAGUUGGGGACCGUAAGGCCUGACGCUUCAUGAUGAGCCCGCGGCCUAUCAGCUAGUUGGUGAGGUAACGGCUCACCAAGGCUAAGACGGGUAGCUGGUCUGAGAGGACGACCAGCCACACUGGAACUGAGACACGGUCCAGACGCCUACGGGUGGCAGCAGUCGAGAAUUUUUCACAAUGGGCGAAAGCCUGAUGGAGCGACGCCGCGUGGGGGAUGAAUGGCUUCGGCCCGUAAACCCCUGUCAUUUGCGAUCAAACGUUAUUAUUUAAAAGAUGAUGACCUGAUAGUAGCGAAAGAGGAAGGGACGGCUAACUCUGUGCCAGCAGCCGCGGUAAUAC